GAUCCUGGCUCAGAAUCAACGCUGGCGGCGUGCCUAACACAUGCAAGUCGAACGCGAAAGCCCCGCAAGGGGUAAGUAGAGUGGCAAACGGGUGAGUAACACGUGGGUGAUCUGCCUCAGAGUGGGGGAUAACGACCCGAAAGGGUCGCUAAUACCGCAUAACAUCCUGCCUUUGGAUAGGUGGAGAUCAAAGCCGGGGAUCCGCAAGGACCAGGCGCUUAGAGAGGAGCCCGCGGCCGAUUAGCUAGUUGGUGAGGUAACGGCUCACCAAGGCGACGAUCGGUAUCCGGCCUGAGAGGGCGGACGGACACACUGGGACUGAGACACGGCCCAGACUCCUACGGGAGGCAGCAGCGGGGAAUUGUUCGCAAUGGGCGCAAGCCUGACGACGCAACGCCGCGUGGAGGACGAAGAUCUUCGGGUCGUAAACUCCUUUCGAUCGGGAAGAAUGGCUUCCGGGUUAACAGCCCGGAAGAGUGACGGUACCGAGAGAAGAAGCCCCGGCUAACUCUGUGCCAGCAGCCGCGGUAAUACAGGGGGGGCAAGCGUUGUUCGGAAUUACUGGGCGUAAAGGGCUCGUAGGCGGCCAACUAAGUCCGACGUGAAAUCCCAAAGCUUAACUUUGGAACUGCGUCGGAUACUGGAUGGCUUGAAUUCGGGAGAGGGAUGCAGAAUUCCAGGUGUAGCGGU
rnacentral:rRNA from 1 species